rnacentral:rRNA from 1 species
UACGAAGGGGGCUAGCGUUAUCCGGAUUUACUGGGCGUAAAGGGUGUGCAGGCGGGUGAACAAGUGGGGUAUGAAAGGUUUCGGCUCAACCGAGAUAGGUUAUGCCAGACUGUUUACCUAGAGUGUGAGAGAGGGACGUGGAAUUCCGGGUGUAGUGGUGAAAUGCGUAGAUAUCGGGAGGAACACCAGUGGCGAAGGCGGCUUCCUGGCCUGUUCUUGACGCUGAGGCGCGAAAGCUAGGGUAGCAAACGGG